rfam:Felis catus isolate Cinnamon breed Abyssinian chromosome E1, whole genome shotgun sequence.
GCCUGGGUGGCUCAGUCGGUUAAGCGUCUGACCUUGGCUCAGAUCGUGAUCUCACAGUUUGUGAGUUCAAGCCCCACGUCAGGCU